GACGAACGCUGGCGGCGUGCUUAACACAUGCAAGUCGAACGGAAAGGCCCUGCUUUUGUGGGGUGCUCGAGUGGCGAACGGGUGAGUAACACGUGAGUAACCUGCCCUUGACUUUGGGAUAACUUCAGGAAACUGGGGCUAAUACCGGAUAGGAGCUCCUGCUGCAUGGUGGGGGUUGGAAAGUUUCGGCGGUUGGGGAUGGACUCGCGGCUUAUCAGCUUGUUGGUGGGGUAGUGGCUUACCAAGGCUUUGACGGGUAGCCGGCCUGAGAGGGUGACCGGCCACAUUGGGACUGAGAUACGGCCCAGACUCCUACGGGAGGCAGCAGUGGGGAAUAUUGCACAAUGGGCGGAAGCCUGAGGCAGCAACGCCGCGUGCGGGAUGACGGCCUUCGGGUUGUAAACCGCUUUCGCCUGUGACGAAGCGUGAGUGGCGGUAAUGGGUAAAGAAGCACCGGCUAACUACGU
rnacentral:rRNA from 1 species